UACGGAGGAUGCGAGCGUUAUCCGGAUUUAUUGGGUUUAAAGGGUGCGUAGGCGGGUUAUCAAGUCAGCGGUAAAAGCCCGGGGCUCAACCCCGGCGAGCCGUUGAAACUGUCGGACUAGAGACGGCGAGAAGUACGCGGAAUGCGCGGUGUAGCGGUGAAAUGCAUAGAUAUCGCGCAGAACUCCGAUUGCGAAGGCAGCGUACCGGCGCGCAACUGACGCUCAUGCACGAAAGCGUGGGUAUCGAACAGG
rnacentral:rRNA from 1 species